GAUGAAGAACGUAGCGAAAUGCGAUAAGUAAUGUGAAUUGCAGAAUUCAGUGAAUCAUCGAAUCUUUGAACGCACCUUGCGCCCCUUGGUAUUCCGAGGGGCAUGCCUGUUCGAGCGUCAUUAUAACCCUCAAGCUCAGCUUGGUGUUGGGGCCUGCUGCAGUGGCAGCCCUUAAAAUCAGUGGCGGCGCCAUCUGGCUCUAAGCGUAGUAAUUCUUCUCGCUAUGGAGUCCUGGUGGAUGCUUGCCAUCAACCCCCAAUUUUUCUAUGGUUGACCUCGGAUCAGGUAGGGAUACCCGCUGAACUUAAGCAUAUCAAUAAGCGGAGGA
rnacentral:misc_RNA from 1 species